CCCUUAGAUGUUCUGGACCGCACGCGCGCUACACUGAUGCAUUCAACGAGUCUAAAACCUGGUCUGAUAGGGCUGGGUAAUCUUUUGAAAGUGCAUCGUGAUUGGGAUAGAUGAUUGCAAUUCUUCAUCUUCAACGAGGAAUGCCUAGUAAACGCAAGUCAUCAGCUUGCAUUGAUUACGUCCCUGCCCUUUGUACACACCGCCCGUCGCUCCUAUCGAUUGAAUGAUCCGAUGAAUACCAUGGAUUGAGAGUACGAAUGGGUUCGCUCAUUUCUGCUGCUCGAGAAGUGGAGUAAAUCUUAUCAUUUAGAGGAAGGAGAAGUCGUAACA
rnacentral:rRNA from 1 species